rnacentral:rRNA from 1 species
UUAGUGCUGCAGCUAACGCAUUAAGCACUCCGCCUGGGGAGUACGGUCGCAAGACUGAAACUCAAAGGAAUUGACGGGGGCCCGCACAAGCGGUGGAGCAUGUGGUUUAAUUUGAAGCAACGCGAAGAACCUUACCAGGUCUUGACAUCCUCUGACAAUCCUAGAGAUAGGACGUCCCCUUCGGGGGCAGAGUGACAGGUGGUGCAUGGUUGUCGUCAGCUCGUGUCGUGAGAUGUUGGGUUAAGUCCCGCAACGAGCGCAACCCUUGAUCUUAGUUGCCAGCAUUCAGUUGGGCACUCUAAGGUGACUGCCGGUGACAAACCGGAGGAAGGUGGGGAUGACGUCAAAUCAUCAUGCCCCUUAUGACCUGGGCUACACACGUGCUACAAUGGACAGAACAAAGGGCAGCGAAACCGCGAGGUUAAGCCAAUCCCACAAAUCUGUUCUCAGUUCGGAUCGCAGU